GACCCGGGUUCGAUUCCCGGCUGGUGCAUUUUACCUUUUUUGUGUCGUUGUUUCAGUGCAUAGCUAGCAUGGCACACAUGUAUAUCAACCAUUUUUUUUUGUUGUUGUUGUUGUUUCAGUGCAUAGCUAGCAUAGCAUACAUGUAUACCAACCUGAACUUUUGGUUCUGUGGAGAAGUGCACUUAGUUGAAGUUGAAGGUU
rnacentral:misc_RNA from 1 species